rnacentral:rRNA from 1 species
GGGUCAGUAGGUUGGUCGUGCCACCGGUACGUACUGGUCUCACUGAUUCCUCCUUCCUGAAGAACCGUAAUGCCAUUAACUCGGUGUUGCGGGGAAACAGGACUGUUAUUUUGAAAAAAUUAGAGUGUUUAAAGCAAGCUAACGCUUGAAUACAUUAGCAUGGAAUAAUGAAAUAGGACGAUCGAUCCUAUUUUGUUGGUUUCUAGGAUUGACGUA